AUACUUACCUGACAUGGACACCCCAUGAUCAGGAAGGUCAUUUUCCCAGGGCCAGCCUUAGAUAUGGCCCUCUAGAUGGGCUGAUGCCUGUGAUCCCCAAAGUGUGAGAAACUCGAUUGCAUAAUUUGUGGUAGUGGGAGAACUGUGUUCACACUCCCCUC